UAUAAGCAUCUGAAUAUGCUCAUCUCUGUUUAAAAGAUGAAGCUACUUGUUCUGUGUUUUACUAUAGUUUUUGUUAGUUCAAAUAAAAGUAGAGUUAUUUUAUUUUCCCAUAAGCAUUGCUAAUUUUGAUAUUUGGGCAGCUAGCAAGCCUUUUCAGGUCUACAGUCUUUCAGACUUAGAAGCAUGCUAUUGCUGUGUUUGAGGAAGCAUUUCAACAUGUCACCCAAUACCUGCAAGUCUGAAAUGAGAGAAAAAUGCAUCAGGAUAUUGUUGGCAAGGCCGCUGUCUAAAUUACCUAAUUGUCUCCUCUGUGUGUGAAAGUGGAAAAAAGGUCUCAGCUCAAGGAAACUUGAAACUCCUGAACUACUACUGCUAUGUCCCAUGCAGACUAACCUGGACAUGCCUUAGCUGCAAGAUGUGUACCACCUGCUGAGAUACAUAAAGAUUGGAGUCUGCCAUAUUCCAUGCAGUACAGCCCAUCUUCCCAGGGCACGUUCAGGUACAUGGAACUGCAGCGACGUUAGCAGCCUCUUCUACUUUAGGAUUUUGCGUCUUUCAAUCUUGCUGUGUUUGCUUCUAAAGCAAGCUCUGCAGUAAUCUUUUAUUAUCAACAUGCUAUUUUACACAUUUAUGUAAGAACAUUAAUCUGAUAAUUAAUUGAAUGGAAAAUAUCAAAAUAAUUAACUAAAAUAAAAGCAAGCUCCAAGAUGUUUGAAUGUGCUAAAAAUCUACCCGUGAUAUUUAGGUUUGUUUUUCCACUUGCAAUAGGUGAAAGUAAUAUGAAGCAAAUAAUCACUGUUUCCAUCCUGCAUUUUGAUAGAAGAUAUUUCUAAUAUUUUAUACGUACCAUUAUUGUCAUUAUUUGUCAUACUCAGACCCUUGGAGAGAUUUUGUGACUGGUGCUUGCAGUAAAGAGAAUCUAGACUGGC